AGCUUAUCAGUGAUGUUUUUAAAAAAAUGUCUGAACAUAUGAAUAUAACAAUGAUUUCAGCAUUUAACUGAGAUAAGCU
ensembl:snoRNA SNORD72 small nucleolar RNA SNORD72